CUCAGUACAAGCAACAAUGCAUUUUAUCUGCUUUUACAUUAUAUUAGUGGCCCGUGCACUUAGGGCCAUCUAAUGGACAUGUGUCAUCAGGGACCCUGUAAUAUCACAGUGCUUGGAAGAAUUGAGAGCCUGUCACUUUCUCCCACCUAACACACACCAAGCCAUGCAGGAAGCAUUCAAACAUAACCCAUGUACAGGAGGAGUAGGCAGAGCGAAGGUAUGACGGAC